UGGCGAAGGCAUCCCCCUGGGAUAACACUGACGCUCAUGUACGAAAGCGUGGGUAGCAAACAGGAUUAGAUACCCUGGUAGUCCACGCCCUAAACGAUGUCAACUGGUUGUUGGGGGAGUGAAAUCCCUUAGUAACGAAGCUAACGCGUGAAGUUGACCGCCUGGGGAGUACGGUCGCAAGAUUAAAACUCAAAGGAAUUGACGGGGACCCGCACAAGCGGUGGAUGAUGUGGAUUAAUUCGAUGCAACGCGAAAAACCUUACCUACCCUUGACAUGUCCAGAAUCCUGCAGAGAUGCGGGAGUGCCCGAAAGGGAAUUGGAACACAGGUGCUGCAUGGCUGUCGUCAGCUCGUGUCGUGAGAUGUUGGGUUAAGUCCCGCAACGAGCGCAACCCUUAUCAUUAGUUGCUACGCAAGGGCACUCUAAUGAGACUGCCGGUGACAAACCGGAGGAAGGUGGGGAUGACGUCAAGUCCUCAUGGCCCUUAUGGGUAGGGCUUCACACGUCAUACAAUGGUCGGUACAGAGGGUUGCCAAGCCGCGAGGUGGAGCCAAUCCCAGAAAGCCGAUCGUAGUCCGGAUUGUUCUCUGCAACUCGAGAGCAUGAAGUCGGAAUCGCUAGUAAUCGCGGAUCAGCAUGUCGCGGUGAAUACGUUCCCGGGUCUUGUACACACCGCCCGUCACACCAUGUGAGUGGAAUCUGCCAGAAGUAGGUAGCCUAACCGCAAGGAGGGCGCUUACCACGGUGGGUUUCAUGACUGGGGUG
rnacentral:rRNA from 1 species